CCUACGGGUGGCAGCAGUGAGGAAUAUUGGUCAAUGGGCGGGAGCCUGAACCAGCCAAGUCGCGUGAGGGAAGACGGUCCUAUGGAUUGUAAACCUCUUUAGGCGGGGAUCAAGGCCGGGCAAGCGUGCCCGGAGGGAGAGUACCCGCAGAAUAAGCAUCGGCUAACUCCGUGCCAGCAGGCGCGGUAAUACGGAGGAUGCGAGCGUUAUCCGGAUUUAUGGGGUUUAAAGGGUGCGUAGGCGGAUUUUUAGGUCAGCGGUAAAAUGUCCGGGCACAACCCCGGCCGGCCGUUGAAACUGGGGAUCUUGAGUGGGCGAGAAGUAAGCGGAA
rnacentral:rRNA from 1 species